rnacentral:rRNA from 1 species
AGAGUUUGAUCAUGGCUCAGUUUGAACGCUUGCGGCGUGCCUCACACAUGCAAGUCGAAGGGCAGCAGGGGAAUCUGUUCCUGGCGGCGAGCGGCGCACGGGUGAGUAAAACAUAGCAACGUACCCCUACGGCGGGGAUAGCGCGGCGAAAGUGACGCUAAUACCGCAUAUGUCUGUUUCGAGGAAAGCGGGGGGUCCCAGGAGCUUGCGCUCCUGGACCGGCCGAUGUUGGAUCAGCUAGUUGGUGAGGUAAAAGCUCACCAAGGCGACGAUCCGUAGCUGGUCUGAGAGGAUGAUCUGCCACACUGGGACUGAGACACGGCCCAGACUCCUACGGGAGGCAGCAGUGAGGAAUAUUGGGCAAUGGAGGCAACUCUGAUUCAGCCAAGCCGCGUGGGUGAAGAAGCCCUUCGGGUUGUAAAGUUCUUUCGGCGGGGAAGAAAAUGGCAGGGAUAAUAUCCGUUGUUGAUGACGGUACCCGCUUAAGAAGCACCGGCUAACUCCGUGCCAGCAGCCGCGGUAAUACGCAGGGACCGAGCGUUAUCCGGAUUUACUGGGCGUAAAGCGUGCGCAGGCGGUUUCGUAAGACAGACGUGAAAUCCCCGGGCUCAACCUGGGAACUGCGUUUGUGACUGCGAGGCUAGAGUACGGUAGAGGGGGGUAGAAUGCAACGUGUAGCAGUGAAAU